rnacentral:tRNA from 1 species
GCCACCGUAGCUCAAUGGUAGAGCAAUCGCUUCGUAAGCGAUCGGUUAAGGGUUCGAUUCCCUUCGGUGGCU